CCUUAUCAAGAGAGGCGGAGGGACAGGCCCUGUGAUGCCCGGCAACCUAGGGAAAAGCCAAGGAACCAUGUGGUUUGGCUGACCAAAAGGUGCCAAUUCCUGCGGUGUAUACCGAAAGAUGAGG
rnacentral:ncRNA from 1 species